AUACGUAGGGUGCAAGCGUUAAUCGGAAUUACUGGGCGUAAAGCGUGCGCAGGCGGUUUUGGAAGACAGUGGUGAAAUCCCCGGGCUCAACCUGGGAACUGCCAUUGUGACUGCAAGGCUGGAGUGCGGCAGAGGGGGAUGGAAUUCAGCGUGUAGCAGUGAAAUGCGUAGAUAUGCGGAGGAACACCGAUGGCGAAGGCAAUCCCCUGGGCCUGCACUGACGCUCAUGCACGAAAGCGUGGGGAGCAAACAGGAUUAGAUACCCUGGUAGUCCACGCCCUAAACGAUGUCAACUGGUUGUUGGGGAUUUAUUUUCUCAGUAACGAAGCUAACGCGUGAAGUUGACCGCCUGGGGAGUACGGCCGCAAGGUUAAAACUCAAAUGAAUUGACGGGG
rnacentral:rRNA from 1 species